CCAGACUCCUACGGGAGGCAGCAGUGGGGAAUAUUGCAAAAUGGGGGAAACCCUGAUGCAGCGACGCCGCGUGAGUGAAGAAGUAUUUCGGUAUGUAAAGCUCUAUCAGCAGGGAAGAAAAUGACGGUACCUGAUUAAGAAGCCCCGGCUAACUACGUGCCAGCAGCCGCGGUAAUACGUAGGGGGCAAGCGUUAUCCGGAUUUACUGGGUGUAAAGGGAGCGUAGACGGCAGCGCAAGUCUGAAGUGAAAUGCCGGGGCUUAACCCCGGAACUGCUUUGGAAACUGUGCAGCUAGAGUGCAGGAGAGGUAAGUGGAAUUCCUAGUGUAGCGGUGAAAUGCGUAGAUAUUAGGAGGAACACCGGUGGCGAAGGCGGCUUACUGGACCGUAACUGACGUUGAGGCUCGAAAGCGUGGGGAGCAAAC
rnacentral:rRNA from 1 species